UGUCUCAUUCCGCCUACUUCUACACUUCGAACACUUAGUUUUAAGUAGGUAGUGUGGAUAACACAAAAAGUCAGUGCACUGAAAGUACCCGGAUGACCCCCUAAAAACGGUCACAAAAUGCAAUGCGUAACGAUGGACCCUACUCGCACUAAACGGACGCCAUCUUGACUACAAAGCGGAAAGGGAGGGGCUAAGGACGUCGGGAAGAUUUUUCCAUUUUGAAAAUAAUGGCGGACAUUUCAGCCGAGACAGCCGGAGAUGCGACACCGCAAUCAUAUAAAUGGACCGACGAAGAUACCAGGGAGCUAAUCCCCUGGCGUGCUGCUAACGCAGAUUUAUUUACUGGCAGGAGGAAUGUGACCCUUACUGGAUUCGAGGAAUUCAUUAAGAAAAAGGGGUUGGAGGGGAUGCUGGAUGCUAAAGCCAUCAGGAAGCGAUGGGAGAAUUUGGUGCAGAAAUACAAGGUUAGUACACAGGGUUCCUGCGGAUCCUUAAAAAGUCUUAAAA